GACGAACGCUGGCGGCGUGCCUAAUGCAUGCAAGUCGCACGGGGUCUUCGGACCCAGUGGCGCACGGCUGAGGAGCACGUGGCUGACCUACCCCGGCGUGGGGGAUAACGGGCCGAAAGGCUCGCUAAUCCCGCAUACGAUCACACUUUCGUGUGAGGAAAGCUUCGGCGCGCUGGGCGGGGGCCGCGUCCCAUUAGGUUGUUGGUGUGGUAACGGCGCACCAAGCCGAUGAUGGGUUCCGGGUCUGAGAGGACGACCCGGCAGACUGGGACUGAGACACGGCCCAGACUCCUACGGGGGGCAGCAGCAAGGAAUUUUCGGCAAUGGGCGCAAGCCUGACCGAGCAACGCCGCGUGGAGGAUGACGGCUUUCGGGUUGUAAACUCCUUUUGGGUGGGACGAUGAUGACGGUACCACCCGAAUCAGACCCGGCUAACUACGUGCCAGCCGCCGCCGUAA
rnacentral:rRNA from 1 species